rnacentral:lncRNA from 1 species
AUGAACCUGAGCUUGGUGAGAUACAUGAUAUCAUAACUGUGCGUGAGUCACCAACAAAUGAAUCUCUGAGAACUUCAGUCAGUUUACUUCCUCUAAAAGGUAUGUGACCCUGAUCAUUGUCUAGAGCUCUAAUACAUUCUUUCAAAGCUAGUAAGCUUUUAUUAAUUUCUGCACCUUCCAUUCUGCAAAAAAUUAAAAUAGAGCAAACUAUUCAUUGAAUUCCACAGGUUUUGUAUAAGUUGGUAAUCAAAUAAUAUUCCAAAGUACUAGCACAUUCUGGGAUGGAAAAUUUCUAAGGGGGACCACAGGACUCCAUGUAAUGCAUGGAGCUAUUCGUUUGAAGGACAGUAAAUAUGAAACUGCUUAAGUUUUCAGAGAAGGGAAUGAUUAAUGCCUACUCAGCAAUACCUUGUCUGUUUGUCAUUGUCAGUAGUAUCUGCCCCUCGCUCACUCCCAGCAAGAUCUAUGAAAGACAGUUUUCCUACAAGUCG